GGCAGUGUGACUGAGCAGUCUAAGGCACUAGAUUAUGGCUCCAGUCUCUUUGGGGGCGUGAGUUCGAAUCCCACCACUGCCA
rnacentral:tRNA from 1 species